AUUGAACGCUGGCGGCAGGCCUAACACAUGCAAGUCGAGCGGGGUUUUCGGACCUAGCGGCGGACGGGUGAGUAAUGCGUAGGAAGCUACCCGAUAGAGGGGGAUACCAGUUGGAAACGACUGUUAAUACCGCAUAAUGUCUACGGACCAAAGUGUGGGACCUUCGGGCCACAUGCUAUCGGAUGCGCCUACGUGGGAUUAGCUAGUUGGUGAGGUAAUGACUCACCAAGGCGACGAUCCCUAGCUGGUUUGAGAGGAUGAUCAGCCACACUGGAACUGCGACACGGGCCAGACUCCUACGGGAGGCAGCAGUGGGGAAUAUUGGACAAUGGGCGCAAGCCUGAUCCAGCCAUGCCGCGUGUGUGAAGAAGGCCUUCGGGUUGUAAAGCACUUUCAGCGAGGAGGAAGGGGUGAGUGUUAAUAGUACUCAUCUUUGACGUUACUCGCAGAAGAAGCACCGGCUAACUCUGUGCCAGCCGCCGCGGUAACAC
rnacentral:rRNA from 1 species